CUUCACACCAUAUCCAAAAACUAACAUACAUAAAAACUAAGUGGAUCAUAGGUACAAAUCUAAAAGCUUAGACUGUAAAACUUCUGGAAGAAAUAAUAUUUGAGACUUUGGAGUGGUUUAUGAAACUAAGAUAGUGGCAACAUUCGAACACAUUUUAUGUAAGUAACACCGUAAAGUUAGUUUUAAACUUCUCACUGGACAGUCAAUAUCUUCAGGAUAAAAUACAAACUCCUAUGUCCCUUUGCAGUCUGACUCUGGUUUUUCAUCAUUUCCAACCCCAUCCUUUCACAACCCCAGGUAAGCUCAUGUACUCCAGUUGUACAGAUUGCUCAUUUUUAAGCUAACUUUUAUUUUUCUUGCUUUUGUCCAAGAUGUUUUUCUACCUAGAAGGUUGUUUUGACCUCUUUCACUUGAUAAAUUCCAAUUUACCCUUCAUGACAUAGCUAAUUUCUGUAAAAUUUAAAUGUCUUCAGAGCUAAUUGUUCCCUUUCUUGAUUCCCCAGAUAAAUUCAUAUACACAUUUGUUACAACAUCUUAGUGUACUGGAGUUCUAAUAGAAGUUCAACAUCUUAGUGUGCCUCCCUCAUUCCUUCUUGAUGUGAUGUAGUAUUUGACAUACUGUGCUGAAUAAAUGAAUAAGUACAAUAAUAUAUAUUGUCAUUGAAAUCCAAUUUUCUCCAUCACCUUGGGUAACACUAUGCCAAGGUCAUCUAGUGUCCAUAUUUGGAUGGCCAAUUUUGCCAACUCUGGUGUUACCAGAAAUUUCAUCAUACUAUUGCACUUGAGCAGGUUAAUAUUCAAACUUACCUUGGUGUGGCUGAAAAAGAGUUCUCUAUAGUUAUAUUGAAACUAAAAGUAGCUUUUGACCCAAUGUACUAUAAGAUUUUUAGAUAAAAAUAAAUGAAGCUAUGAGUCUAGUUUGGAAAAAUUACUGUAUGUAAAGCUUAUUUUAGUGUCCAGAAGGUAAUAUGACAAGAUAAGUAAAAUAUUGUAAAUGGAACUAUAGAGUUAUUUUGCCUAGAUGAGGACACUUAAAGUUUGAAUUCAGGGUGGGUUUUCCCUUUACAAUUCAUGUACAGUUUUAUUGUACAAACUUUUAUUGUAAGUAAAUAUGGCAGUACUUUAAAAUUCAAAUCUUUUUAAUGUGAUUUGGCUUUGAAAAUAUAAAAUCAGGCUAUUUCUCUUUAUUUAUCCAUACAGUACAUAGUAAGCUUUUAUAUGAUAGAUAAUCUGGGAUUUUUUUCUUUCAUUUUUAAACUCUAAGCUUUGACAACAAUUAAUAAUGAUUUGUUGUGUUUUUCUUUCCUUUUUCUGGGGAAAUGAAGUUUCAUUGCUCCGGAAGAAAUUAAUUCUAAAAAAUACACUGUAACAAUUAAAAUGAAGUCAAUUUUGUUCUUGAACUACGGCACUGCUUUGUGAUAUACUAACAGCCGUCUGCUGAUGAUAAAAAACAAGUCCAUGCGGCUCAGCUCCAGAGUGUUCCUUCCAGCUCUCACCACAGUGCACACACUUAACAACAUCAGUCAUUUUAUAUCUAUUUGACACUGAUUAAUUACUCUGAUUCAUUCUGGUAUUAUAGCCACUGCCUUGGCACUUUAGUUAGGUCUGAACAAUUGAAGGGAGAUCAGCAGUGUGAAUUAUGUAUUUAUUACUGUGACCCUUCAUGCUACUUAAUUAACUUAAAUGAUUGUGUGUGCACCCUCAUCUUUGAAAUAUGAUUAUGGAAAAGAUUUACCUGUAUUUCAUUUUAAGAAAUGAAAAUCAUGGUUAUCAGCAUCAGCUUAUAUAUAUGACAUUAUGUUAAUUUUUCAGCUGCUAUAUUGAUGCUUAGCAUUUUUUCUUUUGUGAAAAAUUAACAAAUAUCCAUUACUAAUUCAUUUUGACUGGGGUUUUUUAUUUCUAAACUGAGGAAUGCAUAGAACUCUUAUAGGUACAUCCUUUGAUCCUGAAAUGAAGAUGAUAACCAGAUUUAUAAGCACUAUGGAACAUUUCUAUUUUGACUUGCACUAAGGAUUGAAUAGGACUUCUAUAAACAAGACAGCUUACAUAUUUUUAACACUCAAAAGGCAAUGUAAAUGAAAGAGCAGCAACCAUCAGAACAAAUGUACAAAAAUGAAAUAUUUACUAGCAAUACCUCAUAUGCUUCAAUGAGAAAAGAAGUAAGGUAAAUGCACCAGAUUUUUUAGAUGGUAGUUAAAUAAAUAGUACUUAUCUCCUCUGAUUUGAAAUACAAAUCAGAGCAAUCACGUUUUGGUUGUUGUUUUUCAUUUACUCUUUUGUUGAUGAAGAUGGCAGGAAUGUAACACUGGAAUAUAUUUCAUACCUUUUAUGAAGGAAUUAUACUUCUGAUAAUCCAUCCUAAAGAAUCAAUUCAAAAUUCAGACUUAAAAAAUACUUGUUACACAAAGACACUGCUUUAAUUUGCUUUUCUUUCUUUAAACUAUCUUGCUUUAUAGAAUUUUUUUUCAUUUUUUAUAGUCACAUCUGUCAACCUUUUGCUUUUGGUGUCUGGCUUUGGUUUCAUCCUUUAAAAGAUUAUAUUACUACUUUUGUACAAUGUAUUGAAUCCUUUCCUCAGUGACUUAAAAUGCUCCACUUACUAUGUACUGAGUCUUCAUAAUUGAUCUUAUUUCUCUCAUUUGUCUGUGUUUAUUCCUAGGCACCACAUUUUUAAACAAAUAAUUUACAUAUAAUCAAAAUUCACACAUUUUGAUUGUACAGCUCAUUGAGUUUUGAAAAUUACAUAUACCACUGUGGAAAUAUAGAUUAUUUCCAUCACUCCAAAAAGUUUCUUCUGCAAUUCCCUGUAUGGUCAGUCCCCAACCGUGAUUCCCAGACCAAGACAGUCACUGAUAUGCUUUGUCAUUAUAUGUUAGUAUUACCUUUUUAGAAUUUUUAUCAAUGGAAUUAUACAGCAUGUACUCUAGCUUUCUUGGCAUUUUUUUUUUUUGAGAUUCUUCUAUCAUUAGGUUGUUCCUUUUUAUUGCCAAGUAAUAUUCCUUUGGCUAUGCCACAGUUUACUUAGGUAUUCACCUGCUGCUAGACUUUUGUAUUGCUUUCAGUUAGGGGCCAUUAAGAAUAAAGUUGCUAUGAAUAUUCAUGUAAAAGUCUUGGUGCAGACAGAUGUUUUCAUUUCUCUUGGGUAAGUACCUAGAAGUGGAAUUACUGGGUCUUAUGGUAAGUGUAUAUUUAACUUUAUAAGAAACUGGCAAAUUUUUUAAAAAUGACUAUGCUAUCUAACAUCCCUAGGGCUAACACCAUUGUGAAUUCAGUUGUUCCACAUCAUUUUUAACACUUAUAAAAAAGAUGCAGUAUUUUAAGCCGUUUUGAGUAUGUAGUUAUAGCUGUGCUUGUAGUUUUCAUUUGCCUGAUGUGAUGUUGGGCAUUGUUUCAUAUGUGUAUUGGCCAUUUUUAUAUCUUCUUGUGAGAUUUCUGCUCAGAUAUUUUGCUUGAUUUCAAAUUGGGUGGUCAUCUAAUUGAGUUAAAUUUAAAAGUUAAUAAUAGUUCAUCUUUUCCCAAAUGUAUAUUCACUUGCUCCAUCAUCAUUUCUUAAAAAGACUAUCCUUUUCCGAUUUAAUCGCCUUGGCUCCCUUGUCAAAAAUUAAUUGACCAUAUGCAUAUAGAUCUACUUCUGAGCUCUCAUUUUCCCCCAGGGAUCUGUAUGUCUGUCCUUGUGCCUUUAAGACAGUCUUUAUAAGAUUGAAAAAGAACAAAAUGGCAAGAUUUACACAAACAGUUGUUUUGGCUAUUCUAGGUCCUUUAUAUUGCCAUAUAAAUUUUAAAAUCAGCUCAUUAAUUUCUGGCCUAAGAAAGCCUGUUAGGAUUUUGACUGGGAUUUUGUUAAAUCAAUAGAUUAGGGAAAAUUGACAUCUUAACAACAUUGAGUCUUUCACUCACGAGAGAGUGGGUCUCUCCAUUUAUGUGGACCAUCUUUAAAGUUGUUUUGUAGUUUAUGUAAGUCAGACAUAUAUUGUUACAUUUAUCUCAAGUAUUGUAUGUGUGUGUGUGUGUGUGUGAGAGAGAGAGAGAGAGAGAGAGAGAGAGAGAGAGAGAGCGAGAGCGACUGAGACUCGGUCUGUCGCCCAGGCUGGAGUGCAGUGGCAUGAUCUCUGCUUACUGCAACUGCCACCUCCUGGGUUCAGGCCAUCCUUGUGCCUCAGCCUCCCAAGUAACUGAGACUACAGGUGUGCACCACAUGCCUGGCUAAUUUUUGUGUUUUUAGUAGAGACAGAGUUUUGCCAGGUUGGCCAGGCUGGUCUCGAAUUCCUUGUCUCAAGUGAUCCGCCCACCUUGGCCUCCCAAGGUGCUGGUAUUACAGGCAUGAGCCACCACACCCAGCCUUUAUGCUUUUUUGAAGCUGUUGUUUGUAGUAUUAUAUAAAUUCUUCAUUGCUAGUACGUAGAAAUAGAAUUUUUAUACCUUGAUCCUAAAUCAUAAGACCUUGCUUAAACUUCAAUAAAUAGUUCUAGUAGCCUUCUUUGCAUAUAGCUUCAGGAUUUUCUAUGUAUAAAACCAGGUAGUAUGCAAAUGAAAACUUUAAUUCCCCCUCCCCCAGUCUGUAUCCUUUUUCCCUCCACACUUUAAUGUCCUGACUAGGACAUCUAAUAGAAUACUUACUUUAUGUUGGGUCUCUGGAGGUCAUUUUGUUAUUUUUGAAUCUCAAGUGUCCAUUAUCUGUCUUUUCAUAUGUGAACUACUUUAUACCAGCAACUAAAUUAAGUAAUUUGUAUAAGACAUACUGCUUGUAAGUAAAAAGGAACUAACAAGCCACUGUGUUGUAAAAAUCAAGUUUGUUGAUUCAGUGUUGGCAAUUCAAUAACAGUAAGUUAAACCCAAUAACCAAGUUGGCAAUUACUAUUCUCUGUCAUGUAUUUACAAAAACAUUGUCAGUUUAUCAUAAUGUGGCUGUUCGUUCCCAGUUUUGGUGUCAAUAAAUAACUUAAAUAGAAGUUUUUAAAUGUUGAUUUAAAAAGAAGCAAAUAAAAUAGCCAAAAUAGAAAAGUCAAAAUAGGAAAAUCUUAAAUGUGUUCAAUAUACUAAUGAUCUUUUAUUUCUUCCUUAGGUUAAUGCCUUAGAUAAGAAAACGUGUAUCAUUGUUCAUUAGUUAUUAUAGAAUAAUAGUUACAUCAACUUACAUAUCAAUUGUGUUUAUAAACAAGUAAAUAUUUUUACCAAAAAAAAAAAACAAAACCCACGGGGCGGUAAAAUUUAGGUCUAUUUCUUAUUCAUUAUAGUAUAUUUAAAGCUAUAAUCAUCAUUUUUUUAGAUAGAGAUAGGGAAGCACCAGAGUAUAGUUGAGGAACUUGGGUUCUGGAAUCAAACUGCCUUGCUGAAAAUCCUAGUUCUUUCACUAGCUGGCAGAUGACCUUGGGCAAAUUACUUACCUUUUCUGAACUUCAUCUGUGAGUAAGGAAAAUGCGCUUACCUCAUAGCAAUAUUUUGUGACCAUUAAGUGAGAUAAAUCAUGUAAAGACCUUAGAGUAGAGCCUAGCACAAAGUAAGUGUUGAAUAAAUAUAAGCAUAAAUUAUCUAAUGAUUAACCUGAACUCCAUAAAGUUUGUAGAACUAUCUGACUGGUAAUCUUUAUUAUGUCCACUAUUGGUGAACAUGUCAUAUGAGAUAGUUUUAUAUCAUUUUCUUAAUAUAGAGGAAUAGGUCAGAUAUAAAAGCUAAAGCCAAAUAUACACAUUAACAUAUAUACGUACACAAAAAUUGUUAUAUUUUGUUGAAUGGAUUGCACCUUGGGCCACAUUAUUUCUUCUAUUAUUUAACUCCUUAAUUAUGUGUUAAACUGUGAGUCUCACCUUUUUUGCAAAGAUGUAGAGAAGGUAUCAGUAAUGGAAUCUUUAUAUUCUGAAAAUAAAUAUAACAGGUGGUUAUGUUUUACUUGUGUUAUUUCACUACCAUCUUGAAAAGCAUUCAGAUAAUUUUCCUUGAAUAUGGGGAAUUUGUAUUUUUUUAAAUACGAUAUUCAUUCAGUACUUCAAUAGUUUUAUGUAGAUUUCCUUGGUCAUUAUAUGGAGCCUCAUUGUGUCCAUGCAGAUGCUAAAGCUAUUCCUGACACUGUUUGGUGUUAUCUUAAUAUUAUUUAAGCAAAGAAUGGUGAUCAACUACAACUUAGCAAUUUGUUACUUUUUAAACAGCUCUUUAAAAUAAAUGAAAAAUUAAAUGAGAAGUAUUUAUAAUUAGAAAAGUACAUAGAUAAAAAUUUGGAACCUACAGAAUUUAGGAAAUCAGCCUUUGCACAGGUAAGUAAUUUUUGUGUGUUCACUGUUUCACAUGGGUACAUUGUUUCCCUUUUACAGCACCAGUGCAUCAAUGGCCAAUGGCUUUGUCAUGUGCCUCUACAUUUUCCCAGCUAUAAUUUUCAGUUCCUCAAAAUGCCAUUCCUGAAGGUUCUGUGUAUGUGUUUUCCUUAAAUACCAUUACAUGUACAUCCCUUAAGCCUGGUUCUCCAUGACUUCAGCCCUGGCAUUGGGUAAUUCAUUAAUUCUUGUGAAACCUUGCCUUUAACUGCCUUCCAACCAUCCCCAGUGCUCACCUCCAGCACACUUUAGACACAUGCCUAUUGUGUAAUUGUUAGUAUAGCUUUUUUCUUCACCCUGAUCACAAACUCUUUGAGGGCAGGGACCAUAUCUUUUUUCUAGAUGCCCAGAACCCACCAUAGGGCCUCAUAUUUAGAAGUUCAGUAAAAUGCUUCCAUUGACCCUUUAUGACCACAAUAGUUUUACUCACUUUCACAAGGAUUUGACACUGUGGUAUGUAGUUAGUUCUCGCUUCAUUCAAAAAUUAAUGAAACAGGGCUGGGCGCAGUGGCUUACGCCUGUAAUCCCAGCACUUUGGGAGGCUGAGGUAGGUGAGCGCAUCACCUGAGGUCAGGAGUUCUAGACCAGCCUGGCCAAAAUGGCAAAACCUUGUCUCUACUAAAAAUACAAAAUUAGCAGGUCAUGGUGGCGCAUGCCUGUAAUCCCAGCUACUUGGGAGGCUGAGGCAGGAGAAAUCACUUGAACACGGGAGGCAGAGGUUGCAGUCAACUGGGAUUGUACCACUGCACUCUAGCCUGGGCAACAGAGAGAGACUGUCUUAAAAAAAAAAUUAAUGAAACAUAAUGCUGCUCUAAAAAAUGAAUAUUGGCUGGGCACAAUGGCUCAUUCCUGUAUUCCCAGCACUUUGGGAGGCUGAGGCGGGUGGAUCACCUGAGGUCAGGAGUUCGAGACCAGCCUGGCCAACAUGGUGAAACCCCAUCUCUACUAAAAAUAAAAAAUUAGCUGGGCAUGGUGGCAUGCGCCUGUAGUCCCAGCUAUUCGGGAAGCUGAGGCAGGAAAAUCUCUUGAACCCAGGAGGCGGAGGUUGCAGUGAGCCAAGCUUGCACCAGUGCACUCCAGCCUGGGAGAAUGCAGUGAGCUGAGAUCACACCACCGCACUCCAGCCUGGGUGACAGAGUGAGACUCCAUCUUAAAAAAAAAAAAAAAAAAAAAGAAUAUUAACCUUAAAUAAAGUUUAAAAAGUGGGAAAACAUCACAAUAAAAAGAAGUGCUAGUUAUACAUUGUUUACUUUUCUGCUACACUGUAUUCCUUGAAUUCUUAACAAUUUUUGCCUUUGUUUUACAG
rnacentral:lncRNA from 1 species